rnacentral:rRNA from 1 species
GACGAACGCUGGCGGCGUGCUUAACACAUGCAAGUCGAACGGAAAGGCCCUGCUUUUGUGUGGUGCUCGAGUGGCGAACGGGUGAGUAACACGUGAGUAACCUGCCCUUGACUUUGGGAUAACUUCAGGAAACUGGGGCUAAUACCGGAUAGGAGCUCCUGCUGCAUGGUGGGGGUUGGAAAGUUUCGGCGGUUGGGGAUGGACUCGCGGCUUAUCAGCUCGUUGGUGGGGUAGGGGCUUACCAAGGCUUUGACGGGUAGCCGGCCUGAGAGGGUGGCCGGCCACAUUAGGACUGAGAUACGGCGCAGACUCCUACGGGACGCAGCAGUGGGGAAUAUUGCACAAUGGGCGGAAGCCUGAUACAGCAACGCCGCGUGCGGGAUGACCGCCUUCGGGUUGUAAACCGCUUUCGCCUGUGACGAAGCGUGCGUGACGGUAAUGGGUAAAGAAGCACCGGCUAACUACGUG